rnacentral:rRNA from 1 species
UACGUAGGGUGCAAGCGUUGCCCGGAUUUAUUGGGCGUAAAGAGCUCGUAGGCGGUUUGUCGCGUCUGCUGUGAAAACCUAAGGCUCAACCUUGGGCUUGCAGUGGGUACGGGCAGACUAGAGUGCGGUAGGGGUGACUGGAAUUCCUGGUGUAGCGGUGAAAUGCGCAGAUAUCAGGAGGAACACCAGCGGCGAAGGCGGCGCUCUGGGCCGGAACUGACGCUGAGGAGCGAAAGCGUGGGGAGCAAACAGG